CACGUAGGGGGCGAGCGUUGUCCGGAUUUAUUGGGCGUAAAGAGCUCGUAGGCGGCCAGGUAGGUCGGUUGUGAAAACUGGAGGCUCAACCUUCAGAGGUCGACCGAAACCAUCUGGCUAGAGUCCGGGAGAGGAGAGUGGAAUUCCUGGUGUAGCGGUGAAAUGCGCAGAUAUCAGGAAGAACACCCGUGGCGGAAGCGGCUCUCUGGAACGGUACUGACGCUGAGGAGCGAAAGCGUGGGGAGCGAACAGG
rnacentral:rRNA from 1 species